GACGACACUGGCGGCGUGCCUAACACAUGCAAGUCGAACGAGUGGCGGACGGGUGAGUAAUGUCUGGGAAACUGCCUGAUGGAGGGGGAUAAAUACUGGAAACGGUAGCUAAUAACGCAUACCAUCGGAUGUGCCAAGAGGGGAUUAGCUGGUGGGUGGGGUAACGGCUCACCAAGGCGACGAUCCCUCGCUGGUCUGAGAGGAUGAACAGCCAUACUGGAAUUGAGAAAAGGUCCAGACUCCUACGGGAGGCAGUAGUGGGGAAUAUUGCACAAUGGGCGCAAGCUUGAUGCAGCCAUGCCGCGUGUGGGAAGAAGGUCUUCGGAUUGUAAAGCACUUUAAGUUGGGAGGCGGUACCAACAGAAUAAGCACCGGCUAACUUCGUGCCAGCAGCCGCGGUAAUAC
rnacentral:rRNA from 1 species